GAUGAACGCUAGCUACAGGCUUAACACAUGCAAGUCGAGGGACCGGCGCACGGGCGAGUAGCACGAAUACAACCUGCCCUUUACUCGGGGAUAGCCUUGCGAAAGAAAGAUUAAUACACGAUAUAAAGGAUGGGGAUGAGUUCCAUUAGGUUGUGGGUGAGGUAACGGCCCACCAAGCCGUCGAUGGAUAGGGGUUCUGAGAGGAAGGUCCACCACAGUGGAACUGAGACCCGGUCCAAACUCGUACGGGAGGCAGCAGUGAGGAACAUUGGGCAAUGGGCGUUAGCCUGAACCAGCCAAGUAGCGUGAAGGAUGAAUGAGUAUGGGUCGUAAACUUCUUUUAUAUAAGAAUAUGUAUUAUAUGAAUAAGGAUCGGCUAACUCCGUGCCAGCAGCCGCGGUAAUAC
rnacentral:rRNA from 1 species